rnacentral:lncRNA from 1 species
CGCUUUUCAGAAAGUUUCCGUGCCUUUCGGUUUGUUCUUAAAAGGACCCGUUGACCACAGCGUAUUCCCGACUCGCCCUAUCAGUUAUUGGCAACUCUGAGGUUAUUUUUCAAGAGCAGCAGCUAAAUGUGGGAGGACAGGGGGACUCACGGCAAUUUGUUUACCUGAUGGCUGGACUCCCCCCUUCCUUUGAUUUAUGUUUAUAGGAAAUAUCCUUGCCUAAAUGGAAAAACACAUGAAAGAACAUUACUUCUGCUUCCUCUGCAAGCAGAGUACAUGUUUGUCAGGACCUGUGCCUUGUGACAGGUUGAGAGAGAACAUUUUGGGGAAGGGAAACUUUCUGACAACUCAUCCCCGAAAGGCAGACUCACGAUAAGACUCCCAACGGGCCCGAUCCUCACUGGGAGGAAGCGGCGCCUGACUUCAGUCAUGAUAUGCUAAUUUACAACAGAACAAUCCUGGCUGAAAAAGCAGUGCUGGACUGCCCCAAAAGAGGGUGCAAAGCAAACCGCCCAAAAUGAGUGCAGGAGACAGUCCCGGCUGCAGACCACUGACAUUUAUCAGCUCAUAAGCAAAUGUCACGAGGAGACAAAGCAAAAGGGAGGUGGUGGGACAAUAGAGUCGGUGGAGAAGCAUUUAAUACAGGCCUUUGGACAUACAGACAUAGCAAGAAUUACGUUUGCAUUUCCUAUGUAUUUCCUACGUCCUCGCUGCCCUAGCGCCAGGCGAUCCUCCUCGAGGAGGGCAGCCUGUAGGGUGCAUGGAGCGUGGCCUCAGGGGCGUCCCCUCCCAGGGUGCUCCCUGGACUGCGGGUUGCAGGCUCUGCGAGAAGGGAUGUCCCCUGAGCAGGUCUCAGUUUUCUCCCUCUGAAAUUUCCUGCAACAUGCCACUGCUUUAAGGCUACACGGGAAAGGUGAAGGGAAAUGCAUGCUUUCUCUCCCAUCUUUUAUGCUGUCCACCUGCCUUGCAUCCCCUCCUGUUCACCACUUCUUUACAGAAAAGAGAUUUCAGCAGCAUCAUAGGCUACUAACAAGAGAAGGAGCCAAUCCUGUAAACCUCCCACCUGAGGCUGAUAGAAAGCUGACAGCUUUCAGUGACAGAAGACCUAGUGAAGAGAGAGAGCAGAGUCCACCCAACUGGGCACCGCUCGUCCACCCUACCUCUGCUGCAGGCACUUGGGACCCCACUGGGCUCCAGGCCACUUCCCCCAGAGGUCAGUGCAGACCAGCAGAGAUGGAUGGACAGCCAGACAUGGAGCCGAAAAGGCAAGAGCAUCAGAUGGAUCUCGAAAGGGAACCUGCAGAAGAUGAGUGGAAGAGCUGGCAGAGAGGCCAGAUGAGGAGGAACACGCUGCACCUCGUGUCUGCUGCUGCUCAGUGGAUAUUACUGCUCGUCUGCUUGAUCUACCUGGGCAUAGAUGUUCUGCAGCCCUCAACGCCUACUGUCUACUGGUGGCCAGGCAGGACAGACUGCAAGGGAUGUUGUUUGACCUCUGAAGCUCAGUGGUCCCGUGCUUAGCUAUCAUCUUGUUGGGAAACUACACGGAAAUCCCAGCUGCCUGAGCCAAGGAGUCAAACACUUGUGCACUUAGGCUCAUAGAAACGGAGCAAGUGUAAGGCUCGAGCUGCUGCACAGGAUCAGUAACUGAGGGGGAGAUAGUCCCACUGGAAUUUAUGGGUGAUCAUGCAACAAAAACUUGUAUUUGGUAGCUGAGCCAGCCUUACCCAUGGAAAAAGUGGCAAAGCAUCAGCUCUAGAAGGGCUAGAGGGUGCCAGAAGAGGCCUUUCCUACUGCCCGCACCCGGCACCCACCUCACACCGGGCACAAAGUGGCCGCUCGGGUCCGUCGCCACCCGCUCGCCUCUGCCAGGGCACAGCCCUGAGCCUGCAAGCUGCGUGUUGGUACUCAUUCUGCAAUCUGCUGCUUCCAACGCUCCUCCUGCGCCCAGAGUGAAGAGGCUGCUCUGGUCCUGUAUCAAAUGAGGCUAAAUAUAUAAAAAUCAGCCCAACAUGAAUCUGACUAGCCCAUUUUUCCCUUAGGAAACCUAUGGCAUAAAUAAAGAAAAGAAAACGGAGCA